UGGAAGUGACCCCAAGGAUCACCACGUUCCAAUCCCUUGCCACAGGCAGGGCUGCCAAACACUGGAUCCAGUGCUAGACUAGGCUGCUCAGGGCUCCAUCCAACCUGGUCCCUGGGACCACCAGAUCUUCUCCUCAUCUGCCCACAUUUUAGCUUCCCUGAAGCAGGAAUUCAAGAGAAACUUGUGGAAUCGUCAUUCAUUCAUCAUUUUGUUUCAGGAUGAACAAUUUCUUCAUUGAGUUAAGUCCUACUUGUACGCUGGAACCUGAAUAAAUUGGCAACCCCGAAUGCAUGAUGUGAGGAGAACAACACAAUGGGAGAACAUCUGCUGUCCCAACAGUGACCUGGAAGGAAAUUUGACAGAAUCUGGGAUGAAACCUUGCCAGAAGACAGGAGCAGGGGAGACUGAAGUUAUCAUCACGUGAACUUGUAGCCUAUACUCAGUGCCUUCUCCCCACCACAAACAAUUAUAAUUCAUUUUUUAAUAUUUAAACACGAUAAAUCUUGAUUUUUAACUUCUUGCAAUGAUUUUAAAAUGACUUGCUAAUAGCUGAGGGUAAUUAACGCACCUGAAAGGAAUUAUUAGAUAAAUAUUGUAGUUCAUCUACUUAAGUACUUCUAAUUGAAGUAAAUGCUCUGAUGUAAUAAUUUUAUCGAGCUCCAAAAUGAAAGACGUGAGUAACAGCUGAAGGGAGUACAAAUUUCCUAUUUAGAGACCUACCAAGAGGACACGAUGUACAGGAUGAACCAUCUCUUAGCAAUCACUGCUUUUUUCUGAACAAUUGGCUGUGCCUUUCUGAUAUUUUCUGCUGAACUGAGUAGCAGAGGUGAAAGCGUGGGCAUAACGUUGAGGUUUCCAGCAAGCAAAAUGCAUUUUACAACUUGUGAUGUUCUCUCAUGAGGUUCGAAGCUCUGCUUUAUGGAUCAGAAUUAAAUCAUUGUCCCUGAAAAUCAGUGCGACUUAGAAUCAUAGAAUCACCAAGAUCGGAAAAGACCCAUAAGGUCACCCAGUCC
rnacentral:lncRNA from 1 species